UUCCGACUUCCGGUAGAUGGUAGUAUAUGUUCAAGAAUAUUUAUUCUGGUUUUAAGAAGGAAAUUAUCACAUGGGCUGUCGAAAAGAACAGUUCACAUUUCAUUUUUUCUAAACAAUUGCAGUUAAUGUGAUAGCCUACCUCAUAAUAAAUUGCAUAAUGUAGUAAGCCACAAUUAUUGCAUUGGUAUUGGAAUUGAUCCCCAAAGGGACUCACGAUAAAUUAUGUCACAAAUGCAAGCCAAGGUACUUUGAAUUGAAUGAACACCGAGCACUUUACUGCGCAGACCCAGAGCUGUCAUCAGAACUGGAUUUUUCCACGGGCAAUUUCAGCGCUGGUGAAUGAGGCACGGCCAGCAACACCUUGCCGUGCUUUCUUCGGUGUCAGGACUGCUCCAGCUAUCCAUCACUCCUCUAAUUGUGGAAACAUCAGGAGUCUGCUCACAAUCCCACAAGACCAUUACAGUAUCAGUGUCCUGCUGCAGAUGGGCUGCAAAUCGAAUCACACCCAAACAGCUCCUGCACUGAUGAGAGAGGCCCCACUUUGAAAAAACAGCAGAGAAUGGUGAACAUGAUGGAAGGACUGAGGAUGUGUGAAACAGAGAGUGAACAGUGAACAAAAAAGCAGAGAAAAGGAUUAAGAAUGAGAUUUAAUUAAAUUUGACUUCAUUUAAAUCCAUGGAAUACUGUGAAACAUAAACCAACAAAGUAAAACAUAAGAAUUAAUGAUCAAAGACGAGGGAGAUAUUUUGUGGGGGGAAAAAAAAGAAUUGUACAAAAUUCACUUUCAUAAAAAUGGUUUAAUGGACCUUGAAACUCUAACCAGUCAGUUGUGAUGGAAUGAAACAUAAUUACAGGGAGAAUAAAUUAACGGUUUAGUUCCUGUUCAGUGUCUUGCUGAAGGAACUGAUUUAUUCUUUGUUUACUCAUGAAACUACUGAUUUCCAUCACCUGUUCUCAGACCUUAAUAAAGUACUGAAAUCCCAACCUGUUCUCAGAC